CCAGGGCUGAGGGGCAGCCACAUGGACCUGAGGACCACCCCGGUCAUCAAGAGACACUGCUCAGAUGAACACUUCCCUUGUGGUCCUGCCCGAGGCCAGCAGGGGAGAGCAGACUCUCGGAAGCUCUGCCUGUUGACAUCCUAUCAGUAAUAAUGGAGGGUACCACUCUCGCCUGGAGGAUCUCCGUCACUGACAAUGAGAUGCUGCCUCGAUUUCCAACCCAGGUGCAGAGUUUCAGAUAAGGGGUUUCGGGGACACAACAUUCUACUUCUAUCUUUAGUUCCAAGAAAAUAGGGCCUUGGGUCCAAUUCCCAGUCCAGACCUGAGACUGAACUCUGUGCCUUCAUCCUACUCCCACUCCAGAAGUUCUGGGCGCCUUAUCCCGGCGCUCCCAAAGGCUGACUAUUCCCUCCUAAUCCAUCCCGCCAACCCAACCCCAUGCUUCUCCCAUUACCGUCUCCUCCUCCAUGUAUCCUUCCUUAUAUGUCCCAUCUGGGUCCCCUUCCCACCGAUUACCUCUCUCCCUUCACCCCCUCUUAAAGCCUCGUGCUCCUUCCAAGGGGCCCCCUCCUCCUCGGCCCCGCAGCGGAACCCGAGUGCGGGAGGAGCGGCGCCGCGCCGGACUGGCCACCGGAGAGGGGUCCGCCCGGAAGUGCGCCGCACCGCAGGGCUCCCUAGCCCCCGGCACUGGGCCGCGAACCCACCUGCCUCAACGCCGCUGCAGCCAUGAUCUGUGAGGCAGGUAUCUGUGCCCGCCCAGGGCGCGGCCCGGGAGAAAGACGUUCCUGCCCCGCCCCGCUCACGCCUCCUCCCGUGGGAUGGCUGCCCGCCUACCACCAAAGGCCGGCCUGGCCUUCCCAGUUACAGGGCGCCCGCGGGGAGCUGGGCCCUGCUGCAGAGCGCAUGCGCUGGAACCCGCGAGGCGAAAGGAGUACGUGGAAAUACACCCUCCUCCCAGCCCCCACGCUACAGCGUGCAUUCAAAGGUUUUCAAAAAUGCAUUUCAGUAAGUACAGUACUGUUGAGGAGCGCUGAAGAGGAUAAGCAACCCGAGGGAAAAGAGGGGAAAGGCAAGGAGCAGAAACCUUCACAUACCACGAUUCUUGGUGAAAAGCAAAAGCACACUAUAAAUGUCGGUGGGCGCAGAUAUUAUGUAAAAAUGCACCGUUAAAGGGAAAGGACUCUGAAGAGGGUGGCAGGUAGGGAUGAAGGGGGAGCUUCACUCUGUCCAGAUACUUCCCUGUUUGAAUAUAGGUUUUCUUUCCAACGAGAA